rnacentral:rRNA from 1 species
GAAGCUUCCUUCGGGAAGUGGAUUAGCGGCGGACGGGUGAGUAACACGUGGGUAACCUGCCUCAAAGUGGGGAAUAGCCUUCCGAAAGGAAGAUUAAUACCGCAUAACGUAAGAGAAUCGCAUGAUUUUCUUACCAAAGAUUUAUCGCUUUGAGAUGGACCCGCGGCGCAUUAGCUAGUUGGUGAGGUAACUGCUCACCAAGGCAACGAUGCGUAGCCGACCUGAGAGGGUGAUCGGCCACAUUGGAACUGAGACACGGUCCAGACUCCUACGGGAGGCAGCAGUGGGGAAUAUUGCGCAAUGGGGGGAACCCUGACGCAGCAACGCCGCGUGAGUGAUGAAGGUCUUCGGAUUGUAAAGCUCUGUUUUCUAGGACGAUAAUGACGGUACUAGAAGAGGAAGCCACGGCUAACUACGUGCCAGCAGCCGCGGUAAUACGUAGGUGGCGAGCGUUGUCCGGAUUUACUGGGCGUAAAGGGUGCGUAGGCGGAUUCUUAAGUGGGAUGUGAAAUACCCGAGCUUAACUUGGGUGCUGCAUUCCAAACUGGGAAUCUAGAGUGCAGGAGAGGAAAGUGGAAUUCCUAGUGUAGCGGUGAAAUG